rnacentral:rRNA from 1 species
UACGUAGGGACCAAGCGUUGUUCGGAUUUACUGGGCGUAAAGGGCGCGUAGGCGGCAUGACAAGUCACUUGUGAAAUCUCCGGGCUUAACUCGGAACGGCCAAGUGAUACUGUCAAGCUAGAGUGCAGAAAGGGCAAUCGGAAUUCUUGGUGUAGCGGUGAAAUGCGUAGAUAUCAAGAGGAACACCUGAGGCGAAGGCGGGUUGCUAGGCUGACACUGACGGCUGACAGCGCGAAAGCCCAGGGGAGCAAACGGG